CAAAAUUCCACGCAGGGGCCUUGGUUCCAGAGCUCCCUUUCCAGGAGGCUGUUGCGCGGGCUGGCCACCAGGUGGCACUGUUGCAUAGCAAAAGGAACGCGGCUCCGCGCUGGAGAACCGGGCCGGGCUGCGCGGAAGCCCUGGAGGGCCAGCCGGGUGGAGGGAGCUGCAGGAGGGGGCGGCGUGCUUUCCGGGGGUGCAACUUGGUUUUCCCUGGAGGGAUAAAGCUCUCCUUUGGCAGGUGCCUG
rnacentral:lncRNA from 1 species